ensembl:lncRNA
UGGUAAUAUGCAACAGAAUCUCUGAGUCACAAAACAGCUUGAAAAUUAUUAAGAUCUGAGUAUUACUGAUUUCAGCUAUAGACUGUUUAAAUCUGGACUUUGAUUUGAGUUCAGAAGCUGGGAAGUGGCCCAUGUCUCAGCUGCUCACCCUUCCCAAAGUAUCAACUACAAUAUUGAAGAGGUUUUAGUGUGAUUGACAUCCAGUCCUUCACUGCUGUUAAUGUCCAGCAUGUAUAUGUAUUAUCGUAUUAUUAACCUUAACAUCAAAUCACUAUCAAUUUCUGUCUGUGACUGUAGGACAAACUGUAAAAAGAAGUGAUUCAUAUAUCUGUCCUGCUCAGUCACUUCUGAUGACAACUGCCAGGAGAGGGAUGGGAUAGCUGUGGGUUAAAGCUCAACUAUCUCAGCUAAGUUGGCCAGUGACAACAUGCCUAAGCCUUUUUGUUGUAAAUUUAUUCCACCAGAGCUGUAGGUGUUCACGUGUCUUUCUAGAAGCUCUAGUCAAAGAGAUCGGGAGUUCCCAGAUUCCUCUCUGAAGUGGAGCUGCAGAAACCUGUGGAGCUUGGAAGGAACUUGCUGCAAGCACAGCCAUCCCUUCCUAGCAAUGCUUUAGGGUACGGAUCUGUUGCCCUUCUCUGUUUCCACCUUGUAACUAUUGGACAUGAGAAACUCCACAGGAGUAGGAUGAGCUUCUCUGCUCCCAUGAGAUUUUUCACUCACCGCUUUACAAAAUGUGUGCUUAGCUCUGAAGUGUUCCAGACUGAAUUAAUUACUAAGCAACUUUGGUACCACGCUAUGCACUCCUCUCAGUUGUCUUCCCACACAUGAUGAGUACAACCAAGCUUGUAUCCAGCAGCUCUGAAGAAGCUGAAGAAAUAGAGAGUUUCUGUUUCUGCCCAAAGUGACUGGGGCAAUCAAUCCCAACGUGGGCUCAGCUGGAGGCAUUUUCCUUCACCUCUCUACUUCUGCUAUGGCUAUGUGAGAAAGCAAGGGGGUGAUUUUGCACAGGACCGCAGCUGUUUUUCUCCACAAUAAACAAAAAUCAGAGGCUGAAAUGUGAAGUUUUGUGUGAAAUCUAUUUGUCUUUGUCCAAGGGCCUCUGGCUCGCCACACAGGUGCGAGCAGACAGAGGAAGCACUCAGAGGGACGUGAGGGGAGCGGCGUCCAACUCAGCUAACCUGGGCCUGGCCCCCAUUCAGGCCCAGCCAGCAGGUAGGGAGGCCAUUUUUAGCUUGCUGAG